GUGUGAUUGCUUUGGAUUUACACAAGAUUACUAUCUGGUUUAGUGUAGUGCAUCAAAAUACUAAGUUUGUUUUCUAGAUUUCCCACCUUCUUUGCUAUUCUUUAGCAUGGAAAUCUUGAUAUUAUAUUUUCAAGUCUUUUAAUUUUCAGGAUGAAAUCUGGGGCUUGCAGUGGAGCUGAUUCUAAAGCACAAAGAGAGACAAUGCAAAGUGCUUGCAUCGCUAUUCAUUAGUCGAUAUUGUGAACAUGGAUUUGUUUCACGGUUUCCAAGAAUUGAGUUGUGUCAUGGACCCUGGAAAACCACCCAAAAUGGACAAAUCGGCCAUAUUGAGCAAUGCUAUUAGAAUGGUACCUCAGCUAAGGGAUGAAGCCUAUAAGCUACAAGAGUCUUCGUUCUUCCUAUACUAGGUUUCUUGUUUUUGUUACUAUACUGUUGCAAUCUCUAAAGCAUGAAUCUCUUAGAUUGUAAUGUUACACACAAAUUAGUUGAUUAAUAAUUAUAUAGAUUGUAAUGUUACAGUGCA